rnacentral:rRNA from 1 species
UAAUACGGAGGAUCCAAGCGUUAUCCGGAAUCAUUGGGUUUAAAGGGUCCGUAGGCGGGCCUGUAAGUCAGUGGUGAAAUCUCCCCGCUCAACGGGGAAACGGCCAUUGAUACUGCAGGCCUUGAAUUAUUGGGAAGUAACUAGAAUAUGUAGUGUAGCGGUGAAAUGCUUAGAUAUUACAUGGAAUACCGAUUGCGAAGGCAGGUUACUACCAAUACAUUGACGCUGAUGGACGAAAGCGUGGGGAGCGAACAGGAUUAGAUACCCUGGUAGUCCACGCCGUAAACGAUGGAUACUAGCUGUUGGGGGCAACCUCAGUGGCUAAGCGAAAGUGAUAAGUAUCCCACCUGGGGAGUACGAACGCAAGUUUG